rnacentral:rRNA from 1 species
CCUACGGGCGGCAGCAGGGGGGAAUAUUGGACAAUGGGGGCAACCCUGAUCCAGCCAUGCCGCGUGUGUGAAGAAGGCCCUCGGGUUGUAAAGCACUUUCAGUGAGGAAGAACGCCUGGUGGUUAAUACCCAUCAGGAAAGACAUCACUCACAGAAGAAGCACCGGCUAACUCCGUGCCAGCAGCCGCGGUAAUACGGAGGGUGCGAGCGUUAAUCGGAAUUACUGGGCGUAAAGCGCGCGUAGGUGGCUUGAUAAGCCGGUUGUGAAAGCCCCGGGCUCAACCUGGGAACGGCAUCCGGAACUGUCAAGCUAGAGUGCAGGAGAGGAAGGUAGAAUUCCCGGUGUAGCGGUGAAAUGCGUAGAGAUCGGGAGGAAUACCAGUGGCGAAGGCGGCCUUCUGGACUGACACUGACACUGAGGUGCGAAAGCGUGGGUAGCAAACAGGAUUAGAUACCCUAGUAGUC